rnacentral:rRNA from 1 species
CCCUUAGACGUUCUGGGCCGCACGCGCGCUACACUGACGAAGGCAACGAGCUACUCUUCACCGAAAGGUGUGGGUAAUCUUUUGAAACUUCGUCGUGCUGGGGAUAGAUCCUUGCAAUUUUUGAUCUUAAACGAGGAAUUCCUAGUAAGCGCAAGUCAUCAACUUGCGUUGAUUACGUCCCUGCCCUUUGUACACACCGCCCGUCGCUCCUACCGAUUGAAUGCUCAGGUGAGCCAUUCGGACUUUCAUCAUGCUGGUUUCCAGUUUUGAUGAAGGAAAGUCUUGCGAACCUUAUCAUUUAGAGGAAGGAGAAGUCGUAACA